rnacentral:rRNA from 1 species
UCGUAAAGUCUUUACGGGACUUGGUAAACUCCGUUUUAACGGGGAAGUAAAAAAUGACGGUACCCGUGAAUAAGCCCCGGCUAACUACGUGC